UUUCCGUAGGUGAACCUGCGGAAGGAUCAUUCAUAAUAAGUGUUUUAUGGCACUUUUUUAAAUCCAUGUCCACCUUGUGUGCAAUGUCAGGGUUGAUUUUUCUCUCGAGAGGAUCAACCCCAAACAUCAACCAUAUCUCAACUCUUUGUCUGAAAAAUAUUAUGAAUAAAACAAUUCAAAAUACAACUUUCAACAACGGAUCUCUUGGCUCUC
rnacentral:misc_RNA from 1 species